GAUGAACGCUGGCGGCGUGCCUAAUACAUGCAAGUCGAGCGAACAGACGAGGAGCUUGCUCCUCUGACGUUAGCGGCGGACGGGUGAGUAACACGUGGAUAACCUACCUAUAAGACUGGGAUAACUUCGGGAAACCGGAGCUAAUACCGGAUAACAUGUUGAACCGCAUGGUUCAACAGUGAAAUACGGUUUUGCUGUCACUUAUAGAUGGAUCCGCGCCGCAUUAGCUAGUUGGUAAGGUAACGGCUUACCAAGGCAACGAUGCGUAGCCGACCUGAAAGGGUGAUCGGCGACACUGGAACUGAGACACGGUCAAGACGCCUACGGGAGGCAGCAGUAGGGAAUCGUCCGCAAUGGGCGAAAGCCUGACGGAGCAACGCGGCGUGAGUGAAGAAGGUGUUCGGAUCGUAAAACUCUGUUAUUAGGGAAGAACAAAUGUGUAAGUAACUAUGCACGUAUUGACGGUACCUAAUCAGAAAGCCACGGCUAACUACGUG
rnacentral:rRNA from 1 species